rnacentral:rRNA from 1 species
CCAGAGAUGGUCGCCCCCUUGUGGUCGGUGUACAGGUGGUGCAUGGUUGUCGUCAGCUCGUGUCGUGAGAUGUUGGGUUAAGUCCCGCAACGAGCGCAACCCUCGCUCUAUGUUGCCAGCGCGUUAUGGCGGGGACUCAUAGGAGACUGCCGGGGUCAACUCGGAGGAAGGUGGGGAUGACGUCAAAUCAUCAUGCCCCUUAUGUCCUGGGCUUCACGCAUGCUACAAUGGCCGGUACAAAGGGCUGCGAUACCGUAAGGUGGAGCGAAUCCCAAAAAGCCGGUCUCAGUUCGGAUUGAGGUCUGCAACUCGACCUCAUGAAGUUGGAAUCGCUAGUAAUCGUGGAUCAGCAUGCCACGGUGAAUACGUUCCCGGGUCUUGUACACACCGAAAUG